rnacentral:rRNA from 1 species
CAGCCGCCGCGGGAAUACGUAGGGUGCGAGCGUUGUCCGGAAUUACUGGGCGUAAAGAGCUCGUAGGCGGUUUGUCGCGUCGUCUGUGAAAUUCUGCAGCUUAACUGUAGGCGUGCAGGCGAUACGGGCAGACUUGAGUACUACAGGGGAGACUGGAAUUCCUGGUGUAGCGGUGAAAUGCGCAGAUAUCAGGAGGAACACCGGUGGCGAAGGCGGGUCUCUGGGUAGUAACUGACGCUGAGGAGCGAAAGCGUGGGUAGCGAACAGGAUUAGAUACCCUGUAGUCCCUGUCUCUUAUACC